ensembl:lncRNA
AUCGCAGCGUGUUGUUUUGGAUGAAUGCUCCCCCAAAUCCCUUCCAUGAAGCCCCCAAUCAGCUCGGAGGUUGAUGACAGCCAGUGGCUGACGCGGAGUUCAUUGAAUAAGUGAAUGCGUUUGUGAACAAACGAGUAACAUUCCCUGCACACUCCCAAGUUCAAAUAUCGCAGCGUCGUCCCGCCGUUAUCAGCAGAAAACAGCCUAACGGGCGCGUCGGUGGAGCUGAGCCUGUCGCCUCAUGCAGUGCCACCGCAGAGCCCUCGGCUGUGUCUCCUGCAGAGGUCACCCUGGGGUCAGAACCAGGGCUGCCUUGGUCAAGGGCCAACCGCACGGCUGUUUCUGAAACCAUCAAGUCCGAGAAUGCCCGUGUUACAAUUAAUAAAUGGCAUUGUUAACCGACGUGAACAAAGCCAGCCUUCAUUGCUUUCUUUAGUGGCCCAUUUGGUGAAGCACUUAAGAAGAGCCCUGGCCAACAUACACACAUCAUGGUUUUAAUUACAUCCUGUGAAUUUAUUUUUCCAGAGAGAAAUAUUUCUCAGGGAAAUGUCCAUAAAAGCAACGUUAGCAGAGUGUGAUGGUGUGUAUGUGUUUCCUCUAGGAAAUCUGUUUAGUUUAAGUCCCAGCUUGGAGCACCACUUUUUACAAAGACAGGGGACCUGAAGAAGGCUGCCGACCGCCGGAGAAGGCGGUGUCCCAGCGGGGAGGAAGUCUCCCGGCCCCUCUGCCCUUCAUCUCUCUGGGAACUUGCCCCUCUCUCCUUUUCCACGUAGGAAUUCUGAAUUGCUCUUGGAAGCCCGAAGUGGGCUGGGAUGUUCUCUAAACCCCCCAGCUGAGAGCCCCUCUGUGGCUGGCAUUUCUUACCAGUGUGAAAAGGACAUUUUUGAAAAUGGAAUCCUGUUUUCACCACUCUAAGGAAAGUCACAACUUCAGACUUUUCCAGCAGUUCCUGUUGUCCAUUGAAAACGUUUGCUGGAGAACUAGGCACUCUCCCCAAGCUGCUGGGAUUGUUUCUUAGGUUGCCCUCCGUUGUUAGGGCAGUGACCCCCAUAUCAACACCGCAUCACCAGACUUGGUUUGCAGGUCACUGCUUACCAGCGGCACAAGCACAAGGACUCAGGCUGGGCACUUUCUAAUCUCUUCGGUCUCUGGGUCUCCUGCUUCCAGGACAGGGCUCGAAUCAAGGACUCACUCUGGACGGACUGCCAGACUGAUGGACUGACAACUGACUGAUGGACUGACAACUGACUGACUGCCAGACUGAUGGACUGACGGACUGCGUGGCUGACUGACUAUCAGACUGACGGACUGCCUGGCUGACGACUAUCAGACUGACGGACUGCCUGGCUGACUGUCGGACUGAUGGACUGACUGACUGCCAGAUGACCGACUGCCAGACUGACUGACUGCUGGAAUGAUGGACUGACAGACUGACUGGCUGACGGACUGACUAGCUGCCAGAUGACUGACUGCUGUACUGCCUGACCGACAACUGACUGGCUGCUGGACUGACGGACUGACUGACUGCCAGACUGACUGACGACUGACUGCCGGACUGACAGACUGGUGGACUGACUGACUGCCAGACUGCUGGACUGACUGGUUGACGGACCCACUGGCUGCCGGAUAACUGACUGCCGGACUGACUGACUGCUGGACUGACUGCUGGACUGACUGGUUGACGGACCCACUGGCUGCCGGAUAACUGACUGCCGGACUGACUGACUGCUGGACUGACUGCUGGACUGACUGGUUGACGGACCCACUGGCUGCCGGAUAACUGACUGCCGGACUGACUGACUGCUGGACUGACUGCUGGACUGACGGACUGACAACUGACUGACUGCUGGACUGACGGACUGACUGACUGCCAGACUGACUGACAACUGACUGACUGCCGGACUGACUGACAACUGACUGACUGCCGGACUGACAGACUGGUGGACUGACUGCUGGACUGACUGCUGGACUGACGGACUGACUGGUUGACGGACCGACUGGCUGCCGGAUAACUGACUGCCGGACUGACUGACUGCUGGACUGACGGACUGACGGACUGAUGGACUGACUGGCUGCAGGGCUGAUGACGGGAGGAGUGCAUUUUUAAAAGGAAAGUAAGUUGUCCCCAUUACACCAAUCUAGGAAAUGACCUCUUUUCCUUUCUCUAUGUAAAUUUCAUGUCCUUAUUCACAGGCACAUAAAAUUACAAAAUCAGGAUCAUGGUGUAGACACACAUUUGUCCCCCACUUUCCUUUCUGUCGUGAACCUAAUGAUGCAUUUAUGUAAAUGGAAUUCCUCAGGCUCUCUCAGACACAAGCAAAACAAGAUGGGGUAAGAAAAUCAAUCGCCAGG